rnacentral:rRNA from 1 species
GAUGAACGCUGGCGGCGUGCCUAAUACAUGCAAGUCGAGCGAACGGACGAGAAGCUUGCUUCUCUGAUGUUAGCGGCGGACGGGUGAGUAACACGUGGAUAACCUACCUAUAAGACUGGGAUAACUUCGGGAAACCGGAGCUAAUACCGGAUAAUAUUUUGAACCGCAUGGUUCAAAAGUGAAAGACGGUCUUGCUGUCACUUAUAGAUGGAUCCGCGCUGCAUUAGCUAGUUGGUAAGGUAACGGCUUACCAAGGCAACGAUGCAUAGCCGACCUGAGAGGGUGAUCGGCCACACUGGAACUGAGACACGGUCCAGACUCCUACGGGAGGCAGCAGUAGGGAAUCUUCCGCAAUGGGCGAAAGCCUGACGGAGCAACGCCGCGUGAGUGAUGAAGGUCUUCGGAUCGUAAAACUCUGUUAUCAGGGAAGAACAUAUGUGUAAGUAACUGUGCACAUCUUGACGGUACCUAAUCAGAAAGCCACGGCUAACUACGUGCCAGCAGCCGCGGUAAUACGUAGGUGGCAAGCGUUAUCCGGAAUUAUUGGGCGUAAAGCGCGCGUAGGCGGUUUUUUAAGUCUGAUGUGAAAGCCCACGGCUCAACCGUGGAGGGUCAUUGGAAACUGGAAAACUUGAGUGCAGAAGAGGAAAGUGGAAUUCCAUGUGUAGCGGUGAAAUGCGCAGAGAUAUGGAGGAACACCAGUGGCGAAGGCGACUUUCUGGUCUGUAACUGACGCUGAUGUGCGAAAGCGUGGGGAUCAAACAGGAUUAGAUACCCUGGUAGUCCACGCCGUAAACGAUGAGUGCUAAGUGUUAGGGGGUUUCCGCCCCUUAGUGCUGCAGCUAACGCAUUAAGCACUCCGCCUGGGGAGUACGACCGCAGGGUUGAAACUCAAAGGAAUUGACGGGGACCCGCACAAGCGGUGGAGCAUGUGGUUUAAUUCGAAGCAACGCGAAGAACCUUACCAAAUCUUGACAUCCUUUGACAACUCUAGAGAUAGAGCUUUCCCCUUCGGGGGACAAAGUGACAGGUGGUGCAUGGUUGUCGUCAGCUCGUGUCGUGAGAUGUUGGGUUAAGUCCCGCAACGAGCGCAACCCUUAAGCUUAGUUGCCAUCAUUAAGUUGGGCACUCUAAGUUGACUGCCGGUGACAAACCGGAGGAAGGUGGGGAUGACGUCAAAUCAUCAUGCCCCUUAUGAUUUGGGCUACACACGUGCUACAAUGGACAAUACAAAGGGCAGCGAAACCGCGAGGUCAAGCAAAUCCCAUAAAGUUGUUCUCAGUUCGGAUUGUAGUCUGCAACUCGACUACAUGAAGCUGGAAUCGCUAGUAAUCGUAGAUCAGCAUGCUACGGUGAAUACGUUCCCGGGUCU